AUGUGUCCAGGGUAGAAAAAUGGCAGCUCAUAGAAUUGCUGUCUCAAUGUCACUCAAUCAUUCAGCAAAAAUGUAUUAAGUUUAGGUCAAUAAGCAUUUAUCAAGUUCCUCCGAUGUGACAGGUAUUGUAUUACAUGCUCUGAGAACUGAGGUGCACAGGACACAUCAUUUAUCCUUGGUGUUGUGAAGUCUACUAGAAGAGCCAGGCAUGUAAAAGAUGGUUUUAGUGUAAUGCAGCAAUGUAAUAAUAGGGAUUGUGACAAGGUACGAUGGUGGCACAGAGAAAGGAGCCUUAGCUCAGCCUGGAGUGUCAGAGGAAGCUUCUGAAGGAUGAUUCAGGAAGGAUGAGUGAUGUGAAGGGGGAGGAAUGCUCUGAACUGAGGAAAUAACGUGAACCAAAGUACAGAAGUGGAAAUGAUCCUGAAACCAGGACAAUUGUGUCUGGGAUGAAUGCUAAACAACACAAGAUCCUAGGAAAGCCAGUGUGAAUGAGGAUCGUCUAGGCAAACUGGGACUCUUGAUCCGUGCAUCAGUUGGGGUCCAGUCAGGACAACAGGAAUCACACCAGUCAUUUCAACAGAGAGAAUUUAAUACAGAAGAUGGGUUAAACUGGUCCAAGAAAGCAAGCUGGGAGUACUAGGAAAAGGGUGGGGAAACAAAGGCAAAGAUUGGGGGUGUCAGCAUCUAGAAGCUCAGAGGACGAACCCUGUAGGACUGGGCUCAGCCCUCUGAGGAGGCAGCACAUCCUUGCUGCCUCUGGGUGACUCAGGAAGUCUUAAUAAGAAGUCCAUGGAGUAGAGGCUCAGCUCUUUGAGAACAGGUAUUGCCCUGCUGGGAAGGGCACCUUCCUAGGGCUUUAUGAGAUUGGUUCUGGGAGUGCUGAAAGAAGUUCAAGAUUGGAACCAACUGGCGAUGCUAAGUGAAAGGCCAUUGCCACAGGCCAACCCCUGCUUGCUGCUCCCAUGCCCUAUUUGCAAAAUUUAAGAGAAAGGCACCUGACUGAGGAAAACUUUAGCCUGCAGAUCCCAGCCUCAGUGUCACACAGCAGAACAUAGAAAGGUGGACUUAGAACUGAGCAACACUGGUGUAAUAAUAGGCACAGUUGUUCUUACUGUACUUGCAGAACCAGGCUUGAAAAUGGUUCUGAUUUUGAGGAGGAAAUUCUCCUAAAAGAUCCUUCAGCUCAAUAAGUGAUAAAAAUCACUAUCUUGUCUGCAGAAGAAGAAAAUAGCAUUUAUCAGUUAUUCCCUUUUGUAAAGUGUGACAGGAACUUUACAAACGUUGAUUCAUUAAUCACAAUAAUCCCAUAGAACUUGUGUUCAUCCUGUUUUUACAGAUGAGGAAACUGAAGUUUCAGGUGGUUAAGCUGCUUGCACAAAAACAAGUAGCUAGGGAGAGGCAUGUUCUAGAAACAUGGGCUAGAAGCAAGUUCCAUGUGAUUCCAAAGCCCAGCUCUUUCCACCACCUCUUGAUCUUUCUAGGGAGGAAGCCGCUUCUUUACAGGGCUGAGGCGCAUGAUCCUGGAUGGAGGGGCAAUGGCUGGACCACUCAUGGAGGCCCUGGGCUAAGUGACCUCUGCUAGCCACUGGCUUCUGGAAAGCCCAUGCCCAAAAGGUUUUCCAUCCUUUGAGUUCACACCUUGCCAGUCUCAAAACCUAAAGUGAUUUAUGCCAGCUAAAUGCUGGCCUCACCAUUCGUGGGAAGGAGCCAAGACUUUGUUUGAAUGAGCUCGCCAUCUCUUGGAGAAAGCAUCACGCUGCAGCCAUCCAUAGCUAUGUUUUGGAGAGAGUGUGUUUGUGUGUCUGUCCAUGUAUUCAUGUGUCUUAUAAAUUCAACCUUACUCAGUAGGAUGGCAUUCUUGGAUAACAGACCCUUCAGCCAGACGGCCAAAAUUGCAAAGGCAACAGUUAUUUUUUGGCUGAAUCAAGUUCUUCAGCCUUAGCUGAAGAUGAAGGCAAAUUGUGCCUGUGUUUUCUGGAAAUGCUGAUGCUGAGAUGGGACCUUACUGAGGAAUUCACCAAGGCCCAGGGGAACUGAGAAGAUAAAUGCUACCAGGCGGCUGCAACUUGAGCAAAAUUCCAAAACAAUAGAAUGUCAACUGAAGAUCAUAGAAGACUCUGGCAAGUAUGACAGAAAGCAAGGGCAAUGGCUGGGUCCUGAGACCAAUGAGGAUGUGGAUAAUGGGUGCUGGCACUACAAACACUGCUUUGAAAGAAGCUCGAAGGAAAGGAGGCAGAUUCGGCACUCCCUACCCAGGACUCCAGCUCAUCACUGAGGAAGAGGGAAAUGCAGCCAGCGGUUUGGCAAACUGCCCUCCCCAAAUACCCCUGUUUCAGCCUUCACAGUGGUUUCCUGAGCAGCUCAGGGCGGGCCAGGUAUGGGUUUCUCCUGUCAUGUCAGUGUUCUCGCAGAGAGGGCUUUUGGGCCCUUUUGCAAAGUGACUUGGCUGGAGCCACACUCCUGCCAGCGUGGCAGCUGUUACCACUUAUACCAAGAACAUCUGGCCUGAAGAUUGCAGUAAAAGUGACACUUGUCUACAGAGAAAAAAUGUUGAAGUAUACAUUUUGGACAUGAAGAAAUAAGUAAUGACAUUUAAUGUUUUCAUAAAGCUGCUACACUGAACAGCAAUCGUCCAAACCCCAGGCCCAGGCAUGGGUGUAUCUGUCUAUUGCUGUGUGCCUGCAGGUCUGUGAAAGGCCUUGUAUCUGGAACAUCACUGCCUGAUACAAGCUUUGUCCUCCCUCUGAAGACAUAGAACAAAAGAGGCCCUUGGUAAGACCUCUUCCUUCAAGAUCUAAAUCACAAAAUUGAGGAGCAGGGAGCAAAAUGUAAGGAGCACCCACCAGAUGACAGGAAAGCCAGCUCUGAGUUGCAGUGGUGUUACUGGGUAAACCACAUUGCUGGGGUCAAAUUUCUCAUCUGUAAAAUGGGAGUGUCACAGAUGAUAUGUUUAAGGUUCCUCCACAUUUUAUAUUCUGUGCUUUUUAAAAUAGAGACAAUUGCACCAUUCCUAUGCCAAGCCUGUAGGUUAAACAUGAUUCUUUCCAGAUCCUGCUAGUAAAAUGUACAUCCCCCUUGAUGUGGUGAUACUUGCCACCCCUCACUCAGGAUAAGAGAGAGUGUCAGACAGAGCCAGCCUGGAAGUUAUGGGCUCUUGGAGAGGAAGACAACACCAAAAGGGGGAUGAUACUCCCAAGACCCUGUCCUGAUUUCAUGCUGCCCUGUAAUACUCUUCACAGCUAUGUGCUCAGCACAUUGCCUCAACUUAGGCAUCUUCUGCAUUUGAUUUUAAAGAGCGGAGGCUGAAGAGAAGAUGAAGCAUUCUUCCAGUAACUAGCUUCUGUUUGGUUGGUAGAAUGUCAACUGGUGAUACUAUAAUGACCACAGUGAGGCUGGCAGAAAUUUGGGUAAUCAAAUAAGAGUGUAUAUUUAAUAACUUU